GUGCUUUCAAAACAAAAAGGUGAUAUGUCCUGUCAUAGUUCUGCUAGGUUUAGGUAAAAAUAUUUAUCUAUCAACACGAAAAAAAAUGCAUAAAAACAGAAAACAGAAUAUGAUAAGCCAUACUUGUAUGUACAACAGAUAACAUUAUCAGAAGUUCUUUUUGAGAGAAGAAACCUAUGCACCCUGAAUUUCAGUAGCCAGAUAUGUUUGAAUCUUGUCAAAUAGGAAAAAGCUUUAUCAAGUUAUGAGGUAUCUUAAGAAUUCAUUAUCCCAGAAAAAGAAUUCAACUAAUUACGGACAGCUAAAUUUAACUAGAAAAUCAGCCAACAGAAUACAAAUUCAUGCAUG
rnacentral:misc_RNA from 1 species